AAAAGACGACCUCAGUUCGGAUUGAAGGCUGAAAUUCGCCUUCAUGAAGUCGGAAUUGCUAGUAAUGGCAGGUCAGCAUACUGCCGUGAAUACGUCCCCGGGCCUUGUACACACCGCCCGUCACACCAUGAGAGUUGGAGAUACCCGAAGCCUAUGAGCUAACUUUUAGAGGCAGUAGUCGAAGGUAGAAUCAAUGAUUGGGGUGAAGUCGUAACAAGGUAGC
rnacentral:rRNA from 1 species